AAAACAUCGCCUCCUGCAACACAACCAAGUAUAGGAGGUCCAGCCUGCCCAGUGACUACAAGUUCAACGGCCGCGGUAUUUUGACCGUGCAAAGGUAGCGCAAUCACUUGUCUUUUAAAUAGAGACCUGUAUGAAUGGCCAAACGAGGGCUUAACUGUCUCCCCUUUCAAGUCAGUGAAAUUGAUCUACCCGUGCAGAAGCGGGUAUAAUUAUACAAGACGAGAAGACCCUUUGGAGCUUAAGGUACAAAACUCAACCACGUCGAGCAACUCAAUAAAAAGCAAAAACUUUGUGGAACAUGAAAUUUUACCUUCGGUUGGGGCGACCACGGAGGAAAAAUAAGCCUCCAAGUGGACUGGGAAAAUCCUCCUAAAACUAAGAGAGACAUCUCUAAGCCACAGAACAUCUGACCAAAUAUGAUCCGGCUGACAUAAGCCGAUCAACGAACUAAGUUACCCUAGGGAUAACAGCGCAAUCCUCUCCCAGAGUCCAUAUCGACGAGAGGGUUUACGACCUCGAUGUUGGAUCAGGACAUCCUAAUGGUGCAGCCGCUAUUAAGGGUUCGUUUGUUCAACGAUUAAAGUCCUACGUGA
rnacentral:rRNA from 1 species